rnacentral:pre_miRNA from 1 species
GGGGGGAGGCCGAAUCCUGGGCUGUGUCCCGGCUCCCAGUGCUCCCGGGCCUGCGCUGUUGGAUUCCGCUCCGGACCGAGCAGCACCCU